UACCAGCUCUCCGAGUUGUAGGGAUGAUUAUUGGGCUUAAAGCGUUCGUAGCUGGCUUAGCAAGUCUCCUGUUAAAUUCAGCGACCUAAUCGUUGAGCCGCGGGAGAUACUACUAGGCUAGGAGGCGGGAGAGGUCGACGGUACUUUCGGGGUAGGGGUGAAAUCCUAUAAUCCCGGGAGGACCACCAGUGGCGAAGGCUGUCGACUAGAACGCGCUCGACGGUGAGGGACGAAAGCUGGGGGAGCGAACCGGAUUAGAUACCCGGGUAGUCCCAGCUGUAAACUAUGCGGGCUAGGUGUUGGGGUGGCUACGGGCCACUUCAGUGCCGCAGGAAAGCCAUUAAGCCCGCCGCCUGGGGAGUACGGCCGCAAGGCUGAAACUUAAGGAAUUGGCGGGGAGCACCACAAGGCGUGAAGCUUGCGGUUC
rnacentral:rRNA from 1 species